rnacentral:misc_RNA from 1 species
CUUUGGGAUGUUGACUCAUCUCAGCAAGUCGAGGUGCUAGGGUGUCGCUUCGCUUGACGCCUUUUCUCGUCUUUAAUAACAUUGGCUUUAGAUGUAAUGAAAAGUAUAGAAGGAAGAUGUUAAUUAAACAACCUUUAUCCAAAGAAGUUAAGCUUUAUUAUAAACUUUAAAUGGUGUUUUGAUAUUGCUGGGUGAAACAGGAAAAUUGUGGUGGUUGCAUUGCAAAUAUUAUAAUUUAUGACUAUGAGAUGAGUUGUUUGUGUUGUGGAUACCUAAUUUUAAUCAUUCAUAAAGUCUUUCUUGUAUAUUGCAUUGAAUUUUUCAUACUGAUGGUACUUGAAGGAAGGUAACUAAACCGUGUGCAUUUAUGGGAGAAAAUGGUUUAGAAUCCAUUGGUGAUAGUAGUACUAGUAUAAUUGUUACUUAUGUUCCUUGGCUUUCAGUAAUUAUGCCUUGUAUAUUUUUAUCUUAAUAUUUGUUUCAUUAUAUGAGCUUUCCUUUUCCUUGAUAAUGUGCUUAUUACAUAUAGGAACCCUACUUCUGAUUUUUUAUUGUGUUUCUUAAUAUGGUUUCAGAUAUAUGUGACAAGAUAGUUGA